rnacentral:rRNA from 1 species
AAUGGAAUACCUAAAAUUUCCAUAGCAAACUGCUCAGUAACACAUGAUCAACUUGCCCUAUAGAGAAAAAUAACCUCGGGAAACUGAGGAUAAUAUUUCAUAGUUGAAUAGGCUUGGAAAAGUUUUUCAAUAAAAGGGAUAAAAAAAAUGGUUUUUAUCUGCUAUAGGAUAGGAUCGUGGACGAUUAUGGUCGUUGGUGAGGUAACGGCUCACCAAGCCGAUAAUCGAUAGGGGCCGUGAGAGCGGGAGCCCCGAGAUGGGUACUGAGACAGCGACCCAGGCCUUACGAGGCGCAGCAGGCGCGGAACCUCCACAAUACACGAAAGUGUGAUGGGGUUACCCAAAGUGUUCAAUUUUGAACUGUGGUAGGUGAGUAAUGUUCCCUACUAGAAAGGAGAGGGCAAGGCUGGUGCCAGCCGCCGCGGUAAAACCAGCUCUUCAAGUGGUUGGGAUAUUUAUUGGGCUUAAAGUGUCCGUAGCCGGUUUAGUAAGUUCCUGGGUAAAUCGGGUAGCUUAACUAUCUGUAUGCUAGGAAUACUGCUAUAC